rnacentral:rRNA from 1 species
UACGGAGGGUGCAAACGUUGCUCGGAAUCAUUGGGCGUAAAGCGCACGUAGGCGGUCCGGUAAGUCGGGAGUGAAAUCCCUCGGCUCAACCGAGGAAGUGCUUUCGAAACUGUCGGACUUGAGUAUGGAAGAGGGUCGCGGAAUUCCCGGUGUAGAGGUGAAAUUCGUAGAUAUCGGGAGGAACACCAGUGGCGAAGGCGGCGACCUGGGCCAAUACUGACGCUGAGGUGCGAAAGCGUGGGGAGCAAACAGG